GAAGAGCAGAUCUCCACCAUGGAUGAAAUGCUCCCUCCGUCAGUGCGUCCAGUGACUGGAAUCAGCAGUACACACCAAGUUCUGUCUUUUUCUCCAGGAAAGAUAUUUUACAGAGAUCUUAGUUGUUUCUGCCAGUAUCCAGUUAUGUGCACCUGUCACAAGCUGCACCAACUUGAGUUUGACCAUGUUUUCCCUGAUGAGGUGCCAGGUGACAAGACAAGUGAUGAUGGUGGCCCAUCUGCUUAAGUGCCCUCUGUCCAACCUAGCAGGCCCACUACAGAUUCCCGAGCCUAUGAUGGUGGCUCUGCUACGGAGGUGCCUUCUUCUCCAUCCAGCUUGCCCACUAGAGAGCCCCAAGCCCACUCUUCUACUCAGGUGCUGUUUGCAUAUGUGCCCAAUCAAGUGCAUCAAUUGGAGACGUGCAAGAUGAGGAUUUAGACACCAUUUCCAAUGAAGGAUACAUGGAAGGACAGUUUGUCUUAAUUUAGUAUGAGGGAAAACCAUAUGUGGGACAAAUUGUUGCAAUAAGUAUGGAGGGGCUGCAGGUGAACUGCAUGAAACAACGUGGAGACAAAAAUGAUUUUGUCUGGCCAAAUAGGCGAGACUGCAUUUAUUAUCAAGAUCAGGAAGUUGUUUGUGGCUUAUCACAACCUCAGCAAGGUAGACGGUUUGCUACUCUCUCCACAUUUGACUGGCUUAUGUACAAUGGAGUCUAGAUUAACUGAUUUAUUUGUGGAUCCACUCAGCUACGCUGUAUGUUCACGGUUCAUAUGAUAUAAAAAAAUUGUUUGUUUUACUUAUAUUAAUACAUAUUGCAGACCAGUUUUGAAUUUAAAUGA